UUGCCACCAGUUCGAUUUGACAAGUCAUCGAGCAUGGCCGUCUCAUUUUGGAUUCUGGCCUUGUUUCAUCUUGCCAAAGCUUCCGAUCCUGUCAAUUUUGCACACGAAAACUACACAUUUGGGGAGAUAGACUAUUUCGUGUCCACAACUAAACACUCCUAUUGGAAUUCGUUUGAUUUAUGUGUAGCUAAUAGUGAUCAUAUGAAUAGAUUCUAUUUGGCAACCAUUAGAAAUGAUCAAGAAUAUAACGCAAUUCGUGAAUUAUCGCGGAACGUUGAACUAAAACACUGGAUUGGAUUGAGAAGAGGGAAUAAACAUUCGUCAUAUUUUGCAUUGAAGAAUGUCGAGGAUGCUAAAAAAAUUCAAUGGGUGCAAUGCUUAGGAGACUUUGAAUUUGUGGGUGAUUGGAAAAUAACAAUACAGAGAAGUAAUGGCAACUCCCCGUGGAUGCAAACAAGUGGUGAUAACCUGAACGUCUUUAGGAGCUCUAAGUUUUUUUCACCAAAAAGGCGUUUCAUAUGCCAACGUUCGAAGGUUACCAACACCUCAUGUCUCUCAGCUGACAUCACUGAUUUGGAUCAUUCCCAACUUUAUGGCAACUUAUAUCUCCAUUAUUGCCAUGGACAUACAAUAAGUAAGAUCUAAAGCCACGGAUAUCUCGUAUCGACGGAGGCGAGUCAAAUAAUUGCAACUGUGAAACUCUCGCUCCAAUUGACC